rnacentral:rRNA from 1 species
UACGUAGGGUGCAAGCGUUAAUCGGAAUUACUGGGCGUAAAGCGUGCGCAGGCGGUUUUGUAAGUCUGUCGUGAAAGCCCCCGGGCUCAACCUGGGAAUUGCGAUGGAGACUGCAAGGCUUGAAUCUGGCAGAGGGGGGGUAGAAUUCCACGUGUAGCAGUGAAAUGCGUAGAGAUGUGGAGGAACACCGAUGGCGAAGGCAGCCCCCUGGGUCAAGAUUGACGCUCAUGCACGAAAGCGUGGGGAGCAAACAGG